rnacentral:misc_RNA from 1 species
GAUGAAGAACGCAGCGAAAUGCGAUAAGUAAUGUGAAUUGCAGAAUUCAGUGAAUCAUCGAAUCUUUGAACGCACAUUGCGCCCGCCAGUAUUCUGGCGGGCAUGUCUGUUCGAGCGUCAUUUCAACCAUCAAGCCCCCGGCUUGUGUUGGGGACCUGCGGCUGCCGCAGGCCCUGAAAAGCAGUGGCGGGCUCGCUGUCACACCGAGCGUAGUAGCAUACAUCUCGCUCUGGGCGUGCUGCGGGUUCCGGCCGUUAAACCACCUUCAUAACCCAAGGUUGACCUCGGAUCAGGUAGGAAGACCCGCUGAACUUAAGCAUAUCAAUAAGCGGAGGA